CCAUGCACCAUACUUCCAGGAAGUUAAAUAAUCGUGCAAAUUAACUUUUAUAUCACCCGGAGAGUGUUUAAAAAAACCACAACUGCUAUCAUCCGAACUUCAAAUCAAAAGAAGUGACUUUAUUUCCAAUUCAUAGUAUUUUUAGCAUAAAAUUAUAUUAAUGUUAAUUCUAAUUUUAGGAUAAACAUUUCCUGAUUCGAUAAUUUCGCAAAAAGAACUUAUGAUUUUUAUUUGUUAAUGCGUUUAAUUGAUUUUGCGAAAUUGAAUCUUGAUUUACUUCGAUUCAGUCAAAAUUUAAGCUGUGGCUACUAUUGACUAUUUUACUUGCGGGCUGAUCGAUAUCAGUAUAAGGUAUUCGAUAAACGGAAGUUACAGAAAGAUGUGAACACCUUUCCAAUCCAUUUUUACUUUAAAUCACUAUUAUAUAUAAAGCUCAAUACGCUUAUUUAUUAAUAUAAGUAUAAUUAAAAGUAUAAAUUAAAGUAUAUGUGAGCUCGAGUAAGUCGUGAUAUACAUACAUAAAAGGACGGAACAAUUAUAUUCUGUAUAUGAAGGAAAACAUAACGUGGACCGAUUCCAUCCACUAUUAGUACUCAUACACAUAGACUCCUCGCCUGUUUUGGCCAAUCUCAAGGAGUUACAUAGAAUAUGGGAGGAUGCCACCGACUCGGAUCGGCCGCGUUUUAGAAAUUAUUGUAAUAUCGACCCCUGGGGCGUGCAAUCAACUGAUUCUCGCUGAAGUCACCAUACUCAUCCGAAUCUUCAUAGAUACUCUUCAAUGAACCCGGGAAAGGAGUGGCACGUUCUGCGCUAUACGAAUUGAAAUCUUCAUCACUAUUCUCGAAUGGAUCAACGGCUACAUAGGAGGCGGAGAAACCCUUCAUUGUGACUGUGUCAUCCGUUUUAAAGCGUACCAGUAGCGAAUCCGUCAGUGAAAUUAUGUCUUGUGGAAGCUGCAAAAUAUAUUUUCAUGUUCAUAUGAAGUGUUAUGGAAGAACAAAUAAAAAGGCGAUGCACUCGUAA